CCCAUUGAAGAUGACGAGCUGGUUGAAUAUAUUCUCACCGGGCUGGACGAUGAGUUUGACCCCGUGGUCUCAUCAGUCCUUGCUCGAACCGAGGCCAUCUCCGUAAGCGAGUUGUACUCUCAACUGCUUGCGUUUGAAA
rfam:Zea mays cultivar B73 chromosome 9, whole genome shotgun sequence.